CCAAAAGACAAUCUCUAAAAGCUAGUUCAUCAGCAGCAUUUGAUCCUACUGUUGGAGUUUGGACAAGGAACCAUGGAAUGAAGGAAACAGUAGAACUUGCGAUGAAGUUGCAGUCUGAGAUGCAAAUUUGGUUCGUAAAUUUUGUUGAGGACUCUCUGAAUGCAGGUUUUCGGGCUUUGGGGGGUUGUACAAUUGAUGGAAGUAAACCACUGCCCUUCAACUUCAGCUCCGUUGCAGGUAUAUUAUCGCAGUUGAAGAGAGUAAAUGAUUGGUUGGACCGUGUGGUGUCAAAGGGGGAUGAAUUUCUUGACGAAAAGAUUGAGAAACUCAAGCG
rnacentral:misc_RNA from 1 species